rnacentral:sRNA from 1 species
ACCUCAAAAAAGGUGUCACCGUAACGUGAGAAGUUGAGAUCCGAGGACUCGAUACUUUUGGCAACAAGUUCCUGUCUCCAGCAUUAUCCAGAUAAAUCUGGACAAUUGCAUCAGAGAAUGAUGCAGGGUCCAAAGGAGCAGCAAUAUUCCGUUUGCGGGUCUUAAUCCGCUGGCCUC